AGGUGGUCCGGUGCCAGCACACGCGGGAGGGAGACAAACGGGACCCGCUGUGACAGGCCAGUAGUGCCAGCACACACUUGGGGUUAGUCCCAACUCCUCCAAAUUAAUGAGCAAGUUUACAGCCAUCGCUGCAAGGACAAACCCUUUAAUGCUCCGAACUAAGAUUAAGUGCAAAUCCUUCUAUAAACUAACCACUACAACAAAGCCAACCUUCUGUUGUAGGCAUCCCUUGAAGUGUAAUUUUUCCUUAAAUUGCAUCACUAUGAGCAAAGCCUGUCGUACAAGUUGAAACUCCUAGGUCACCUCACACGGCAAUACCUCCAAGCAAGUGUCCCUUCCAAGUUUCCUGAUGUGAUGAACCCCAUGAGAGCCCUGGCAGGACCUCCCCGGGCAGUGGGUGCUGCUGGGAGGUGCAGAGCUCCCCAGCGCUGUGGAGGGCAGUGCCCAGGACUGUAGGAGAUUGGCUGCCCAUAGCUGCCCAAGCACCCCGAUAGGGAGCAGCCAGCUGUCUGUGCGGGCCCAGGACGAGGCCCGUCUGGGCUGGGUUCUGGAUCCAGGGAGACGGUGCACAGGACGAGUGAGAUGGAUGGUCUGCAGUACGUGGCCCAAGAGUGGGCCGUGAGGAACAGACACCCACGGCCAAGGGGACACUACACGCCCUCCCCGGAAGCAUCUGUGAUCCCCUGGGGUCCCUCAAGCAAACAUCUGCUGGAGCCAGAACCCCUCGAGGACUCAACGUCCUGGCGAGCACCUACUGUGUGCAGUUGCUGGGGUGGGGGUGAGGGAGGAGCGAGACAUGUGCCUCAGGAGCAGCAGCCAGACACUGCCACCCAGCCCAGCUGUUGGCACCACCCUGAGGACAGCAGUCUGAUUCCCUCUCGGGGAGGGUGGAAGUGGUGGGGGCAGGAGGGCCACCUCGUGUUCCUGCCUCAGGUCCCCGCCUGCACCCUGCCUGUGGCUUCGGGGUUCAGGGUCCCUGACACUCAGGAAGGGUCAGGAGGGACUGUGGGGCGGGCAGGCUGGGCAGUCGCCAGGAAAGGAGCCUGGACAUUCAGAGGCUGGUCACCCUGGGAGAUGGCAGCCGCUCCACCCGCCCUCGGCUGGACUUGAAAGAAGUGAGAACAGACAGAAUUCAAAGACGCCAACAAAAGGGCUUCCUGUUGACACCAGCAGACUUUAACUCCUUUCUCCUCGCACCCGCGUUGGCGCCUCGGCGGGUGCUGUGUCCCCCAGGGCGGCAAGCCGACCUCGGAAAAGAAAGUGACGGUGCUGGUGGCUCCCGACUCUUCGAUUAGCCUUUUGAAAACUAGGUUUGAGAUGCAGAGCCUGUCUCACCGACACCAGCGCCAGCCUCUGGUCCCUGCGAUCGCCCUGUGAUUUUUCUGGGAUUAAAGGUGAA